rnacentral:rRNA from 1 species
GACGGGGAGCACCACAACGGGUGGAGCUUGCGGUUUAAGUUGGAUUCAACGCCGGAAAUCUUACCGGGACCGACAGCAAUAUGAAGGCCAGGCUGAAGACUUUGCCGGAUUAGCUGAGAGGUGGUGCAUGGCCGUCGUCAGUUCGUACUGUGAAGCAUCCUGUUAAGUCAGGCAACGAGCGAGACCCACGCCCACAGUUGCCAGCGUACUCUCUGGAGUGACGGGGUACACUGUGGGGACCGCCGCUGCUAAAGCGGAGGAAGGAAUGGGCAACGGUAGGUCAGCAUGCCCCGAAUUAUCUGGGCUACACGCGGGCUACAAUGGGUGGGACAAUGGGUAUCGACACCGAAAGGUGAAGGCAAUCUCCUAAACCCAUCCGUAGUUCGGAUUGUGGGCUGCAACUCGCCCACAUGAAGCUGGAAUCUGUAGUAAUCGUGUCUCAAAAUGGCACGGUGAAUAUGUCCCUGCUCCUU